rnacentral:rRNA from 1 species
GAUGAACGCUGGCGGCGUGCCUAAUACAUGCAAGUCGAGCGAACAGAUAAGGAGCUUGCUCCUUUGACGUUAGCGGCGGACGGGUGAGUAACACGUGGAUAACCUACCUAUAAGACUGGGAUAACUUCGGGAAACCGGAGCUAAUACCGGAUAACAUAUUGAACCGCAUGGUUCAAUAGUGAAAGGCGGCUUUGCUGUCACUUAUAGAUGGAUCCGCGCCGUAUUAGCUAGUUGGUAAGGUAACGGCUUACCAAGGCAACGAUACGUAGCCGACCUGAGAGGGGGAUCGGCCACACUGGAACUGAGACACGGUCCAGACUCCUACGGGAGGCAGCAGUAGGGAAUCUUCCGCAAUGGGCGAAAGCCUGACGGAGCAACGCCGCGUGAGUGAUGAAGGUCUUCGGAUUGUAAAACUCUGUUAUCAGGGAAGAACAAAUGUGUAAGUAACUGUGCACAUCUUGACGGUACCUGAUCAGAAAGCCACGGCUAACUACGUG